rnacentral:tRNA from 1 species
GCCUCCUUAGCUCAGUGGUAGAGCAGCUCAUUCGUAAUGAGCAGGCCGUGGGUUCGACUCCCAUGGGAGGCU